GAUGAAGAACGCAGCGAAAUGCGAUAAGUAAUGUGAAUUGCAGAAUUCAGUGAAUCAUCGAAUCUUUGAACGCACCUUGCGCCCUUUGGACUUCUGAAGGGCAUGCCUGUUUGAGUAUCAUGAACACCUCAACUCCUUAUGGUCUUCCAUGAUGAGCUUGGACUUUGGGGGUUUUGCUGGCCUACAGUCAGCUCAUCUAAAAUAAAUCAGCUUACCGGUGUUUGGUGGGUAUCAUGGGUGUGAUAACUAUCUACGCUCGUGGUUUUCCACCAGGUAACCUUCAGCAGUGGAGGUUCACUGGAGCUCAUAGAUGUCUCUCCUCAGCGAGGACAGCCCUUUGAAUGUUUGAUCUCAAAUCAGGUAGGACUACCCGCUGAACUUAAGCAUAUCAAUAAGCGGAGGA
rnacentral:misc_RNA from 1 species